GGUCCGAACCCACGCACGUUGAAAAGUGCGGGGAUGAGGUGUGGGUAGCGGAGAAAUUCCAAUCGAACUUGGAGAUAGCUGGUUCUCUCCGAAAUAGCUUUAGGGCUAGCCUCGAGGUAAAGAGUCAUGGAGGUAGAGCACUGUUUGGACUAGGGGCCCUUCUCGGGUUACCGAAUUCAGAUAAACUCCGAAUGCCAUGUACUUAUACUCGGGAGUCAGACUGCGAGUGAUAAGAUCCGUAGUCGAAAGGGAAACAGCCCAGACCACCAGUUAAGGUCCCCAAAUAUAUGUUAAGUGGAAAAGGAUGUGGGGUUGCUUAGACAACCAGGAUGUUGGCUUAGAAGCAGCCACCAUUGAAAGAGUGCGUAAUAGCUCACUGGUCGAGUGACCCCGCGCCGAAAAUGUACCGGGGCUAAACAUAUUACCGAAACUGUGGAUGAACCUCUUUAGAGGUUCGUGGUAGGAGAGCGUUCUAAGGGCGGUGAAGUCAGACCGGAAGGACUGGUGGAGCGCUUAGAAGUGAGAAUGCCGGUAUGAGUAGCGAAAGAAGGGUGAGAAUCCCUUCCACCGAAUAUCUAAGGUUUCCUGAGGAAGGCUCGUCCGCUCAGGGUUAGUCGGGACCUAAGCCGAGGCCGAUAGGCGUAGGCGAUGGACAACAGGUAGAGAUUCCUGUACCAGUGCUAAUUGUUUAACCGAUGGGGUGACACAGAAGGAUAGGGAAUCGCACGAAUGGAAAUGUGCGUCCAAGCAGUGAGUGUGAGAAGUAGGCAAAUCCGCUUCUCGCGAAGCAUGAGCUGUGAUGGGGAAGGAAAUUAAGUACGGAAGUUCCUGAUUUCACGCUGUCAAGAAAAGCCUCUAGGAAGAGUAGUACUGCCCGUACCGCAAACCGACACAGGUAGAUGAGGAGAGAAUCCUAAGGUGAGCGAGAGAACUCUCGUUAAGGAACUCGGCAAAAUGACCCCGUAACUUCGGGAGAAGGGGUGCUCUAUUAGGGUGCAAGCCCGAGAGAGCCGCAGUGAAUAGGCCCAGGCGACUGUUUAGCAAAAACACAGGUCUCUGCAAAACCGUAAGGUGACGUAUAGGGGCUGACGCCUGCCCGGUGCUGGAAGGUUAAGAGGAGUGCUUAGCUUCGGCGAAGGUACGAAUUGAAGCCCCAGUAAACGGCGGCCGUAACUAUAACGGUCCUAAGGUAGCGAAAUUCCUUGUCGGGUAAGUUCCGACCCGCACGAAAGGCGCAACGAUCUGGGCACUGUCUCAACGAGAGACUCGGUGAAAUUAUAGUACCUGUGAAGAUGCAGGUUACCCGCGACAGGACGGAAAGACCCCGUGGAGCUUUACUGCAACCUGAUAUGGAAUGUUUGUACCGCUUGUACAGGAUAGGUAGGAGCCGAAGAGACGUGUGCGCUAGCAUACGAGGAGGCAAUGGUGGGAUACUACCCUGGCUGUAUGACCAUUCUAACCCGCCACGCUUAGCGCGUGGGGAGACAGUGUCAGGUGGGCAGUUUGACUGGGGCGGUCGCCUCCUAAAGAGUAACGGAGGCGCCCAAAGGUUCCCUCAGAAUGGAUGGAAAUCAUUCGCAGAGUGUAAAGGCACAAGGGAGCUUGACUGCGAGACUGACAAGUCGAGCAGGGACGAAAGUCGGGCUUAGUGAUCCGGUGGUUCCGCAUGGAAGGGCCAUCGCUCAACGGAUAAAAGCUACCCCGGGGAUAACAGGCUUAUCUCCCCCAAGAGUCCACAUCGACGGGGAGGUUUGGCACCUCGAUGUCGGCUCGUCGCAUCCUGGGGCUGUAGUCGGUCCCAAGGGUUGGGCUGUUCGCCCAUUAAAGCGGCACGCGAGCUGGGUUCAGAACGUCGUGAGACAGUUCGGUCCCUAUCCGUCGCGGGCGCAGGAAAUUUGAGAGGAGCUGUCCUUAGUACGAGAGGACCGGGAUGGACACACCGCUGGUGUACCAGUUGUUCCGCCAGGAGCAUCGCUGGGUAGCUAUGUGUGGCAGGGAUAAACGCUGAAAGCAUCUAAGCGUGAAGCCCCCCUCAAGAUGAGAUUUCCCAUUUCUUCGGAAAGUAAGAUCCCUGAAAGAUGAUCAGGUAGAUAGGUUUGGAGUGGAAGUGUAGCGAUACAUGGAGCGGACAAAUACUAAUCGAUCGAGGACUUAACCAAAA
rnacentral:rRNA from 1 species